rnacentral:rRNA from 1 species
AUUGAACGCUGGCGGCAUGCCUACACAUGCAAGUCGAACGGUAACAGGUCUUCGGAUGCUGACGAGUGGCGAACGGGUGAGUAAUACAUCGGAACGUGCCCGAGAGUGGGGGAUAACGAGGCGAAAGCUUUGCUAAUACCGCAUACGAUCUCAGGAUGAAAGCAGGGGACCGCAAGGCCUUGCGCUCACGGAGCGGCCGAUGGCAGAUUAGGUAGUUGGGGGGAUAAAAGCUUACCAAGCCGACGAGCUGUAGCUGGUCUGAGAGGACGACCAGCCACACUGGGACUGAGACACGGCCCAGACUCCUAAGGGAGGCAGCAGUGGGGAAUUUUGGACAAUGGGCGCAAGCCUGAUCCAGCCAUGCCGCGUGCAGGAUGAAGGCCUUCGGGUUGUAAACUGCUUUUGUACGGAACGAAAAGACUCUGGUUAAUACCUGGGGUCCAUGACGGUACCGUAAGAAUAAGCACCGGCUAACUACGUGCCAGCCGCCGCCGUAACAC